rnacentral:ribozyme from 1 species
GGCAAUACCUCGCUGAUAAGGUGGAUCCGAAGCCUCUAGAAGAUUAACAUAGGCUCUCCACCUCCUACUCCUACUCAAUACGUCACCGUCGUACAGAACGGUAGCAUGUCUCUCAAUUAUCCAAGCAUGGGUAUACGGGGAAACCCAACCCCUUGGGCGGGUUAGUUGUAUGGCUAAUUGAGAGGG